UCUCAAGUGAACCUUCACUUGGAAAUUGCAAUGGCCUCCAGCAAGGAGGAUGACUAAGAGCUCGUCAGAGUGUCACUCUGUCCUGAAUCAGUCAUGCCUUGGACACAGUUAACACCUGGUUGUAUAGAAGCCCUGAAGAUUUGUAAAGUUCACACUCGAGACAAGCAGGGGUCCUCGGCUACCAUGGGGGAUAGACAUUUGGAGGCAUCAUUUUGACUCAUCAGGGAGGAGUCCAGGGCCAUCAACAGAGAAGUGGUGGCUGUGCGGGUAAAAUCAAAGCCAUUACUGUGCUGACCUUCUCUUGGUGAAAAUGAUGGAGAUUACCAAGUGAGAACCUUUAAAAGGCCGAAAGGCUGGCCUUGAACUCCCUAUGAAGCCAAGGAUGACCUUCAACUUCCGAUCCUUCUGCCUCCGCUUUUGAAGUGCUGAGAUAACAGUCAUGUGUUACCACAUGCCCAGGAAAAUGUGAUACUUGGCCAGCUAUGAAGAGAGCAGAAACAACUGCGGUCCUUCGUUUCCUUGUUGGAACCCAUGAGUUGUUGAGAUCAUCAGGGAACAAUACUUUCAUCCACUGAGACAGCUGCCAGAUGUUGAUGGCAAAGAGCAAACAAGAGAACAAGGAUACAAAAGAUAUGAUAGCUUUCCAAUCUUAUGGGGCAAGAAGCCAAUUAACUCUGAGAAAUUCCUAAGGGAGUCAUCAUAUCAUAUAAAACUAGUUCUGCUGGAUCCAUGAAAAUGAAAAACCAAGGCCCCAAAGGCCAUCAUUGCACUCAGGCCAUACUAUGCUUGUGACAUACUGAGUAGUAUGCACAUUGCACACACUUCAGAGUUUGGAAGGAGACAUCACCAUGAUGUGUGGCAAG
rnacentral:lncRNA from 1 species